AAAAGUAACUGAAUAUAAAAUAUAUAAUCAACUCAUGCAAAUAACAUCAAACAAUCAUGUGAUCCAACAUAGUAAAAUUAACUUCAUCUACUAAGACAUAAUCAAGAUAAAUCUAGCUACUCACAAUGAUACAUGUCACUACCAUGAGUUUAGAUGAAAAAUACAUGAAAAUCAAUGAAGAAUAUGGUCUCCAAUGACUCGAAAACUCUAAAAUCCCUUGUUGUAGAAAUCCUUGUCGUCGCUUUCUAUGUAGAAAUUCAGAAUCCUUGAAAAAGUGGAUUUUCCCUCCUUUUAAAUAGCUAAAAAGUGUGACAUCCAAAAGUACCAUUGUGACCACUCUGAAAAGUAUCACGGUCGCGAUAAAUUUUCAUUACGACAAGUGGCCAUUGCAAGACAUCAAGUGGCCAAAUUCUUAAUUUUCUUUCUUUUUCUCCUUUUUUUACUCUAAGUCCACAAUUUCUUCUCUUCUUCUCAUUUCUUCUUCACUUUAGCUCAUAAUUUAUUUAAAUUAUAUCGAUUCUAUCGAAAAUGCUCAUAAAUAUUAUGCAAUAAUAAAGUGUCAUCACAAACCCAAACUUAUUCUAUUGCUUUUCCUUAAGUAACUUGAAUGUAAACUGAAAAUUUCAACAUAAAUAAAAUGCUUGCCCUUACCAAUGGACAACACCAUUCUAUUGUUUAUGAUCAUCACGUAAGUUCCCUGCUCAAUCCAGAUAAUUCCGAAAAGUUCUUCCAACAUCACGUGUACUCAACCUGUCUCUCAUUUCACCUUUGUUCACUCGAAUUAACAGGGUAAUCACACAAUCAACGUACAAAAGUAUCUUACCAUAAGUUUGCAAAAUUCCUAACAAAGUCAAUCAAAGUCAUAUUUAAACACACAUUUCUGAGGUCUUUUAAGGUUGUAAUGGGGCUUAAGUCAGGGUAGGAUAUUUUGAAAUAGUAGGCUUAAAUCUUUAGAGUUAGGUACCUAGUUUUUCUUAUGCUACCAUGUUCCUUUUAUAAUGAUCUUUACCUUCUCAACUAGUAAUAAAUAAUGCAUUUUGUUGGUAUUUUUUAUUCAUUUUUUUGUCAUCUUGCUUCAUUUUUUUUGAAGAAGUGAUUUUAAAUUCUUUAUUUUCUCUUUUUUUAUUGACCAUUGUUUCUCUAGUACCUCAAUCCCAAACUUAAACAUUGCUAAUUUUCAAGAGCAACCUCAAACUUACUCUUUUGAAUAUGACAAGGAAACUAAACUUUUUAUCUAACUCCAAAGAGUGUGGAAAGAUU
rnacentral:lncRNA from 1 species